rnacentral:rRNA from 1 species
GACGAACGCUGGCGGCGUGCCUAAUACAUGCAAGUAGAACGCUGAAGAAAGGAGCUUGCUUCUUUUGGAUGAGUUGCGAACGGGUGAGUAACGCGUAGGUAACCUGCCUUGUAGCGGGGGAUAACUAUUGGAAACGAUAGCUAAUACCGCAUAACAGCUUUUGACACAUGUUAGAAGCUUGAAAGAUGCAAUUGCAUCACUACGGGAUGGACCUGCGUUGUAUUAGCUAGUAGGUAGGGUAACGGCCUACCUAGGCGACGAUACAUAGCCGACCUGAGAGGGUGAUCGGCCACACUGGGACUGAGACACGGCCCAGACUCCUACGGGAGGCAGCAGUAGGGAAUCUUCGGCAAUGGGGGCAACCCUGACCGAGCAACGCCGCGUGAGUGAAGAAGGUUUUCGGAUCGUAAAGCUCUGUUGUAAGAGAAGAACGUGUGUGAGAGUGGAAAGUUCACACAGUGACGGUAACUUACCAGAAAGGGACGGCUAACUACGUGCCAGCAGCCGCAGUAA